GAUGAAGAACGCAGCGAAAUGCGAUAAGUAGUGUGAAUUGCAGAAGUACCGUGAAUCAUCGAAUCUUUGAACGCAAAUUGCACUCUCUGGUAUUCCGGGGAGUAUGCCUGUUUGAGGGUCGCUUAACAAACCAUCGAUUUCGUUGCUUUUUUUUUGAAAAGUGAUGUUUAUCGGAUUUGAGCCGUCUUUUUUUUUUAUAUUUAAGUGGCUUAAAAUUGAUUUUUUUGGUACGAUCGAAGCGUAUUUUUAUGAUCAAUUUUUGGUUAAAGAAACGCACACGUACCGUUAUUUAUAUGAUGUAAUACGUUUGACUAUUGGAUUUAGUUCAUUCGUAUACGAUAUUUUUCAAUAUUUGACCUCAAAUCAGGUAAGAACACCCGCUGAACUUAAGCAUAUCAAUAAGCGGAGGA
rnacentral:misc_RNA from 1 species